AGCACCUCCCGUAAUGAACCAUCAGACCGGCAUUUCCUAAAAUCCUCAUAUUAUGGACCCAAGUGAAAAGCAUGAAGGGGUGCAAAUACUCAGGCCAGACCACGCCCACAAAAGUGGAAGUCCACUGUUGGUAGGAGGCACUGUGGGGGGCAGGGAUUGUGAAAUUUGGGUAUAAGCUACCUCCCAGCUUAAGUAGUGCUCACUUCCUGUUUCACAUGUGGGACAUCCAAGCUGUUUCAUUUAAAAGCAGAGUUCUACGUGCCACUACCAUCACAGCAGCAGCAGUCACUGCACUUGGAGGAGGAGGAAGUGGGGGAUCUGAGAGGACUGGGGAGGGAGUGCAACGUGGGAAACAGGGCAUGAGGUUCAGUCAGAAGCCAAAAGGGCCAGAAUAGGGGAAAAUGGGGAACCAUUCAUGGACUGCAUUACCUCACCCUCUACCCUCCAAGGCUGACUGAAUAAGUCACCACCCCAGUUGACAGGAUUUCCUGUCAUUACACAGACGUGUGGCUCUCAGCUCUCUGGUCAACUCAACUUCCCACUUCUGUGGACUUGAAGAGGAUAAGAAACAGAGACACCCACAGCACUGCUCUAUCACUCAUGGAGCUCCCCCACUGCAGAUGGGAAUAAAAAUUUGAACUUAGAUCACCAUGCAUCCAUCAAAAUGUGGGAAAGUCUCUAUAUGCUACAACCAUGCCCAUCGUACAGAGAAGCAAGUGGAGGUACCAAUGUUUAACUUGUCCAAGUUCACAUGGUUUGCGAGAGGAGGUGCUGGGACAAGACCCCAGCAGUAUAGUGAUCACCAUUCUUACAUCGCCCUGUCCCUUCAAUGUCUUCAAAGGCUCUCUACAACUCGAAGAAGAAAUCCCCAAACCUAUCCUUACAACACCAACCUCUCAUCACUCCAUGAGCCAGCCCACUGGCCUUCAUGUCCUUCAACAUCAUCUGUUCUGCUCUGCCACAGGACCUUUACACAUGCUGGGCCCACCUAGUGAAACACUUCUUACCCAUGUCUGUCUCCAAGUUCCAAACUGUAUGCUCCAAAUUGUGUUGAAGUGAGACCUUUCUUCUCCCUCACCCUUGAUUAGGUUAUAUACCAAAAGGCACCUCCCUACCUGUUUUGUCAUCAUGUCACAAUCUGUCUCCAUAAAUGACAACAGAAUAACUUGUUCCUGUUUUUACAGAAUUCACAAAACAGGGACCAUGUCUGUCUUGUUUCAGGUGCAUCUUUGGGGUUUAGCACAGUGCAGGGAUUCCACAGACACUUGAUGAAUGAGAGAAUGAAACAGUCAAGAGUCAGGCGCUAUUGCUGGGAGACACAGGAUCUAAAAGCAAAUGUCGGCUCACAAUACUGAGAGCUAAAGUUACACAGCGUUUUGCCAUAGAAAAACAUCCCAAUAUUGAAAACUGACGAACCUGGGCUUGAACCCAGCCUCUGCAAUUUUCAACUGGACAAGCAGGGAAAAUACCCAAACUCUCUGCGUCUCAGUUUCCUCCUCUGUCAAAUGAGCAUGACAUGUAUCUGAGUGCAGGUAAGAGAAAAUGAAAGAACCUAGAUCAUGGCAUGGCCCAUAGAAGGAGCCCUUCCCAGCCAAUAACUUGGAUCCACCAGCAAAUCAGAUGUCAGGCUCAGGGGAGGGAAAAAAAACUAGUAUAGUCAUGG